AGGACAAACGCUGGCGGCGUGCCUAAGACAUGCAAGUCGGACGGGAGGCUUCGGCCUCUAGUGGCGGACGGGUGAGGAGCGCGUGGAGAACCUGCCCCGGGGUGGGGGAUACCCGCCAGAAAUGGCGGUUAAGACCGCAUACGACGGCACCGUGCAGGCGGUGGCGGGAAAGCAGUGAUGUGCCCUGGGAGGGCUCCGCGUCCCAUUAGCUAGAUGGUGGGGUAACGGCCUACCAUGGCACCGAUGGGUAGCUGGUUUGAGAGAGCGACCAGCCACACUGGGACUGAGAAACGGCCCAGACUCCUACGGGAGGCAGCAGUGAGGAAUUUUCCGCAAUGGGCGCAAGCCUGACGGAGCGACGCCGCGUGUGGGAAGAAGGCCUUCGGGUCGUAAACCACUGUCGAAGGGGACGAUAAUGACGGUACCCUUGGAGGAAGCCCCGGCUAACUACGUGCCAGCAGCCGC
rnacentral:rRNA from 1 species